UAUGUAGGCUAUUUACCUAACGUCACUAACAUUUUAGUCAAAAUUUAAUCACCCUACCCAAAUUAUCUAAUAUAAUGAUUACUAAUUGUAACAGACCUAUAGCAUUUUCAAGUUAAUUCCUCCACAAAAUAAUGGCUUUUGUGGGAAUGGAGUAGUACUGUAUUGCAUACUGGACAGUAUGAAGUGUAGACUACUAGCAGUAUGCUGUUGUGACCUCAUUUUGUUGUUGCAUGUUUAAUCCAGCAAGUGCCAUCUAGUUGUUAUCUCAAGAAAAGUGUGUAAUAAUGGUAUUAUGUUAACCAAUAGCUUGUUUGACCAUUGAUUAGCAAACUGCUACCAUAGAAGGCUCAUGAACUAAUGGGUAGCAAACUGACACUGGGGAGGGCUGUUAAUCUUAUGUUGGAGUAGAAAGAAACCUAGAGCAGUAACAGCACAAAAAAAUCCUGAGGCCAGGGACUCUCAUUGAAUUUAAGACCAGCUUUAAUCUUCAUUGCAGCCAUUAUUUCAUUUUUUAUUUUAUUUUUUCAUUUUAUUGGUUUUUGAUUGGAACUGUGAUAAUGGCAUAUGUCAUAUUUGACACAUGCUUAUCUUUGACUUCCUUCCUUUAAUGUGAUUGUACAGCCACAUCUAAUUUGCAGACUUUCUUAUUGGAUCAGUCUCUCUUUGGUGUGAUUGCAGCAUUGUUUCCUCAAAGCCUUGCCCAGCGCCGGGUGAUUUUCUCUCACCUUGCAGGAGGUGAGCGAACUCGUACGCCUUUCUUCAUCAAACCCACACCAGGAAAUUCAG